rnacentral:rRNA from 1 species
AUUGAACGCUGGCGGCAUGCCUAACACAUGCAAGUCGAACGAGUGGCGGACGGGUGAGUAAUAUCUGGGAACGUGCCCUGUAGCGGGGGAUAACUACUCGAAAGAGUGGCUAAUACCGCAUACUAUUGGAUCGGCCGAUAUGGGAUUAGCUAGUUGGUGGGGUAACGGCUCACCAAGGCGACGAUCCGUAGCUGGUCUGAGAGGACGACCAGCCACACUGGAACUGAGACACGGCCCAGACUCCUACGGGAGGCAGCAGUGGGGAAUAUUGGACAAUGGGGGAAAGCCUGAUGCAGCCAUGCCGCGUGUAUGAAGAAGGCCUUCGGGUUGUAAAGUACUUUUAGCGGGGAGGCGUUACCCGCAGAAGAAGCACCGGCUAACUACGUGCCAGCAGCCGCGGUAAUAC